UCGUCAUCUUCUUCUUGAGCAGUUAGUGAUUCUGUUGGUUGGUCUUUUUUUGACCUGGGGAGGCUACAAUCUGAUUUUACUGGUGAAGAAGAAACUGCAUUGAAGGUCAUAUGGCCAGGCAAUUCGAUUCCGGCUAGAGUUGAGAUAUUGGAAUUUACAUUCGUCUUGUGCUCAUGUACUCUUGCAAUCGCUUCAAAAGCGCCAGAAACGAGCAAAAGAAGAACAAGAAGGAACUUGGACAACAUGGCAACCACAACUUCUUGUUUGGUCAACGAGAAAAUCCUACAUCAAGAAAAGAAAGUACCCUUUGAAGAAAACUAGAAAACAGACAAAAAACAACUGGGCUUUCAGCCAAGAAAAGGAAAAAAAUAAUUCCCAGAAAGAUGAAAAGACAGGAAAAGCUUAAGGUAUUUAAGAAAAAAUAUGAAGGAACAUAAAGUAGAAGAGAAAGGUGAAGGCUUUAUGGGUUCGUAAGUUAGAAGCUAAUAAUCAAAAUAACAAACUUAGACUUUGAAUUGCAUACUAUCGUUUCAAAGAUGGCACUGUGGUAACGCGGUUUCCCAUGACCAAAAAAUGAGGGAAGAGAGGAAAAGAAAAAUAAAAUUAAGGAAAAGAAGAGAAAAAGAGUAGUCUGCAAUUAAUGGUGGGAUUCAAAAGAUGGAAAAAAGAAAGGAAAAAAGAUGGUUUAAUUGGUAGGUGAUACAAUAUUUACCUGGUCUUCUUCUUCUUCUUCCACUUCUCCUUCUUGGGGUUCUUCCUCUUGGUUUCCUGUUUCAUUUGCUUGCAUUUUAAAAGAAUUAAAUAAAAAUUUAAGCAAAAG
rnacentral:misc_RNA from 1 species